rnacentral:rRNA from 1 species
AUUGAACGCUGGCGGAAUGCUUUACACAUGCAAGUCGAGCGGCAGCGCGGGGGCGAACCCUCGGCGGCGAGCGGCGAACGGGUGGGUAAGUACAUCGGAACGUGUCCUUAAGUGGGGGAGUAGCUCGGCGAAAGACCGGAGUUAAUAACCGCAUAAGCUCUGAGGAGGAAAGCGGGGGCGUCCGUAAGGACCUCGCGCUGUUGGAGCGGCCGAUGUCGGAUUAGCUAGUUGGUGGGGUAAAGGCCCACCAAGGCGACGAUCCGUAGCUGGUCUGAGAGGAUGAUCAGCCACACUGGAACUGAGACACGGUCCAGACUCCUACGGGA